AUAAUACCUGACAGGGCUCUCUGUGGAGCUCUGAGCAGAGGUGUCUGUUGUGAGAACAGAGCCAUGAACCUCAUCCUGGAAUUUCUCCUUCUGGUGGGCGUCAUCAUCUACUCCUACCUGGAGUCACUGGUAAAGUUCUUCAUUCCCCGGAGAAGGAAAUCUGUGACCGGGCAGACCGUUCUCAUCACGGGGGCCGGACACGGAAUAGGCAGGCUGACUGCAUAUGAAUUUGCAAAGCAGAAAAGCAGACUGGUUCUAUGGGAUAUCAAUAAGGUAAUAAUAGGUGUUUCUAACAAUCUUUUAAAGUCACAAAAUAACAAGGCAUAUGUUUCUCUAGAGACGUAACUUAGUGCUGGCUUUUCUCUGUGUUUUCCUUUUUCAAAGUUUUAAUAAACUCCUGGGUCCUUUCUGGAUCCCUGCGACAGGUGAACAAGAUGGAACCAACGAGCUGGAGAACUAAGCCUGGGGGGUUUCAUUUUGUUUGACUGGUUGGUUGGUUGGUUGGUUGGUUCUACUGUGGUGUACAACUUGAUAACAAGAGACGCAGGAGCCAGAGAGCUUCCCAGCUGCUGAAAUUAGGCAAGCCACAUAACUUACCUCAACUUCAAAUUUAAAAAACAAAAAACAAACAAAAAACUCUACCAUUGGGAUAAAAUCUCAGAGGGAGACAAAAUCUACAGGUAAUGAUUGCCAGCAACCAAAUUGGCCAAUAUGCAGUUUAUUACAGCUAGGGGUGACUUUUAUACUUUUAGAUUUUCAUUUAUUCUGUUAUUCAUUUGUUCCUUUCUGUGAUAGACUGAAGCUGGGUCUUAGUACCUACCACUGAGCCACAGUACCUUAGCACGUGCCAGGCAAGCACUCUAUCACCGAGCAACCGCUCAGGUUUUUACACAUUUGAGGGAUUGAUUCUCAAAACAAACAAACAAAACCACAUGAAGAACUAACAGCAGAAACCCAUGGUACUUCCACUCACACUCCAGCAAUCCUAAAAUACUUACAUCUGACCUUUUGCAGAAGAAGAAAAAAUACUUGCCGGGUCCUGAGCAAGAAGGGUAAAGAAUAAUACUUAAGUGCUUAGCAUGGCCUGGUGCACGCAGCAUCACAUAUGGAAAUGUCUACACCAGUGCCUGGCUUUCACUAGUACAUUUAAGAGGUUGUUGAUCUCUGUUUAUUUAUAAAUGCUCUUAACUACCUUAAGUCUGAAAGUGUUGACGUCCUGUGUCACUUUCUCCUAAACAUGCACAUUCCCAAAAGGUCGUGAAAAAGAUGUGCCACAACAAACUGUCUCUGGGAUUGUAAUCUUUGAAGAACUGGACUGGGGAUGUAGCCCAGCGGUACAACAAUUAUCUAGAAUAUACAAACUAGAUAUUAGAUCCAGUUGUGGCUGGGUGUGAGCCUCAGCACUACAAGGAAACCACAAACCGCUGCUGUCAUGUACCGGAUACAGUGGCUCAGACUAGAGAGACUGGGGUUUUGGUGUUUGUUUGUUUGUUUGUUUGUUUGUUUGUUGAGAAGCAGAGUUUCCAAAGCUUUCCUUGGGGUUUUGCUCGGCUUCAGGUAACCCUCUGUUACGUUUUUGCCAUCUGCAGUUAACACCACUUUUCCCAGCCUUCAGAACGCUCUUGAACAUAAGGAGCUAAAUCUGCUUUGGUUCCUUUUGAGCAGUGAAGAAUCCCGAGAGGCACCAUGCAUCUUUGCUUAGCAGAUACAGGCGUUGGUGGGCAAGAUGAGCUAACACGGUACUUGGAGAUGAUUCUGAGAUUAUCAAAUCCUGCACAGGUCCCAGGCAGUCUUCUUGGAGCUGAGAAAACUGAGUCAGCUGUUCUCAGUCCCUCGUAAAAAAUAUAAACGAGAAUGAGAAUACAUCAUGAAGAUGGUCCACGGGUCUUCAGAUCACCUCCCAAGUGUGCAUGGUGGGAAGACAUCAAUACUUAGUAGACUACCUUUAAUUUGAAAAUUUUCAGACACAGAAAGAGUAAAACUAGAAAGAGGUCACAUUAAAGAUGACUUCCACUUUUUUUUUCCUGUGCCUGAAAACUGAGUAACUCAACCUUGUAAAUUUCUCUUUGAAUUCUUGAACUUCAUGAUGAAACAUUUAAGACAUCAAAUGAUUGACUGAAAAGCUGCAAGUGUAACUCCAGUUUCCCUGUUCACUGAGAGGCCAGCUAGCUUUCCAUCAAAGAAAUAUGGCUCCUUUUCCUUAAAAGGCAAGAAGCAAGGCCACAGAGAAGCCUCCUCCACCCCCAGCUUUAAAAACAGUGGCACAGAGAUGUGAAACACAACUGUUAGGAAGGGAAUUCAGCAGUGGGGAGGGAGGGGCUGCAGGAAGGUAACAGGGGAUAAAAUAAUAAGAGCAUACAUGUGUAUGCAAGGAAUGAAAAGCAAAUUUAAGAAGAACGCAAUGACACAAUAGCAAAACUGUGGACCCAGCCAAGGUGCCCACCCAGAGACAUGGGUUGGAAAAUGUGGUUUCACACACAGGACAUCGUUCAGUCUUUUGGAAGAAUGACAUCAUUCUGUUUGCUGGACAGUGGAAAAAACUGGCAGUCACAACUUUAGGUGAAAAGGGAGCCAGACUCACAAAGGGAAGGAUCAGUGGGGGGCGGGGGGGGGGGGAGGUCACUCUGCUCUGGUCCCAGCAUUGGACCAGGAACCAAGGCAAGAGGGUUGCUGCAAGUUAGAACCCAGCCCUGGCUACAGAUGAAAUUAUAGCAAGAGACAAAAGAGGGUAGGGGAAGGCAGCAAGCAUGGGCUCUGUCAUGCCUCGUGUGUGGGAAUGUCAUCAUGGAACAUACUAGUUUGUACGUUAAUAAAAAGGACACAGGGAUUAGCAAUGGGCAGAGGGGUUGACACCCCAGAAGGUGUUUCUUGUGCAAAAGUGACGAAGAGAUACAUUCUUCCAUGCUCCAGAUUAAUUAUAAGGCUGGAUAGUUCGCAAAUUAUUAGCAUCUAUCACUCAUACAUGAUGCUAGGUUUCACCGUAAGCUUUCAUAGAUGUGUAUAUUCUGGUCAUAUUCACUGUUCACCCAUCAUUAUCUCUGGUCCCCUCCCACUCUUGCUGACCCCCUUUCUAAGUGCCCCCUUGUGCUUUCAUGUGUGUGUGCUAAUGACUUUAGAUAGGAUUGCUAACUUGAGCCUAGACGAGGGCUUGUUACAGGAGUAGGGAUGGCUUGCUGGUGGCGAAGAAAGUAACCCUGAUACACUGUUUCUUCAGUCACAUCUUUUGCUUAUGCUACUGAAGAAAGUAACACUGAUAAAUUGUUUCUUCUUCAGUCAAAUCUUUGCUUGAGGCUCUGGUUACUGCCUCUCUCUACAGCUCUGACGUCUGUAUGAGGCUAGUGAGGAGGGCAGCUGGGCCAUCUGACAGUAAGCAGCCUUCAUUAGUGGAAAUAAAGCCAACAUUAGUGGAAAACUCUCCUACCCAGACCACAGCUCUAUUCCACAGCCCCACGAGGACCUAUGCUCUAUGCGGCAGUCCAUCCCAAGUCUAUGUGAAGACUAUGUUGGUUUCGUAAGUGACACCUUAACCCUCCUUAAAGUCUGUUCUUUAAGACUUCUAUUGUUGCUUUGUGGUUUAGCCAAGAUAAGGAAAUGCAAAGGGUCGGAGGGGAGGCAAGCAGUGUAAGCCAAACAUACCAUCCACUCAGGCAAGGCCCAAAUGAUGGCUACACUAUUGCCAUCCCAGCUUGCACAAGAAAGAGCUUCCUGGGUGUCCUCACAGAGAAGUGGGGACAACCAUCAGAGGAAAAAGUGUGAUUUUUAAAAAGAAUUUGAACCCCAUAAAAUCAAUAGGUGUCAAAACUUGGAAAGAGUCCAAAUUUUCCUGAAAUGUAGG
rnacentral:lncRNA from 1 species